AGAGACCAUCGACUGUGGUUAGUUUGUGCUUAAGAAAAAGUGUUUGUCAAAAGACCAAAGGCAUAGGUGAAAGUCAAGGGAUUUCACAUGAAUACAUUAAAAAGUAUUUAACAUAUGUAACAAAUAUUUGUAAUGAAAAAAUGAAAGAGAACUGGAACAGGACUGAAAGAUUGUUUUCAAAUUUGCGAGCAUCAGUAUCUUCUCAAGAAAUAAAUAAAUUAGAAAAUGACCAUGAAAGUGGAUUGCAAAGAAGAAAUGUGUGUGAAUAUACUGACAAAUCUGUACAACAUUUCAAAGAGUCUGAUCAUUGUAUAGAUAUGUUUUGUGACGGUUUUGAAAAUUUAUUAAAAUAAUAUAAAAUAUGGCUUACAUAA